AGAGUUUGAUCAUGGCUCAGGAUGAACGCUGGCGGCGUGCCUAACACAUGCAAGUCGAGCGAUUCUCUUCGGAGAAGAGCGGCGGACGGGUGAGUAACGCGUGGGUAACCUGCCCUGUACACACGGAUAACAUACCGAAAGGUAUGCUAAUACGGGAUAAUAUACUUUUGUCGCGUGGCAGAAGUAUCAAAGCUCCGGCGGUACAGGAUGGACCCGCGUCUGAUUAGCUAGUUGGAGAGGUAAUGGCUCACCAAGGCAACGAUCAGUAGCCGACCUGAGAGGGUGAUCGGCCACAUUGGAACUGAGACACGGUCCAAACUCCUACGGGAGGCAGCAGUGGGGAAUAUUGCACAAUGGGCGAAAGCCUGAUGCAGCAACGCCGCGUGAGCGUUGAAGGCCUUCGGGUCGUAAAGCUCUGUCCUCAAGGAAGAUAAUGACGGUACUUGAGGAGGAAGCCCCGGCUAACUACGUGCCAGCAGCCGCGGUAAUACGUAGGGGGCUAGCGUUAUCC
rnacentral:rRNA from 1 species